rnacentral:rRNA from 1 species
CUCCUUGCACACACCGCCCGUCGCUUCAUUGAAGUUGGGUCUGCGCGAGGUGACGGUCUAAUUGGCGUUAUCGAACGCGGGUUUAGCAACAAGGGAG